UACAGAGGUGGCAAGCGUUGUUCGGAAUUACUGGGCGUAAAGGGCGCGUAGGCGGCCUUGUAAGUCCUGUGUGAAAUCCCCCGGCUCAACUGGGGAACUGCACAGGAGACUGCUUGGCUUGAGUUCGGGAGAGGGAAGCGGAAUUCCGGGUGUAGCGGUGAAAUGCGUAGAUAUCCGGAGGAACACCGGUGGCGAAGGCGGCUUCCUGGACCGACACUGACGCUGAGGCGCGACAGCGUGGGGAGCAAACAGG
rnacentral:rRNA from 1 species